rnacentral:rRNA from 1 species
GUGACCCCAGGAUGGGCGAGGCCACCCG